AGUGAACGCUGGCGGCGUGCCUAAUACAUGCAAGUCGAACGGAGUGGCGCACGGGUGAGUAAUGUAUAGCUAAUCUGCCCUACACUAGAGGACAACAGUUGGAAACGGCUGCUAAUACUCUAUAGUGUAGGAUGAGGCUAUAUUGGAUCAGCUAGUUGGUGAGGUAAUGGCUCACCAAGGCUAUGACGCAUAACUGGUCUGAGAGGAUGAUCAGUCGAAUGGGAACUGAGACACGGUCCAGACUCCUACGAGAGGGAGCAGUAGGGAAUAGUGCUCAAGGGGGGAAACCCUGAAGCAGCAUCGCCGCGUGGAGGAUGACACUUUUCGGAGCGUAAACUCCUUUUGUUAGGGAAGCGGUACCUAACGAAUAAGCACCGGCUAACUCCGUGCCAGCAGCCGCGGUAAUUC
rnacentral:rRNA from 1 species